AAGGCCUCCAACCAAAAACAUUCCCCUCCAUUCAAAAAUGAAUUAAACAUUUGAGUGAUUCUUCUUUAAGUGGACGCGAUGAGCUUGUUUUAAACGCUCCUCAUCUAACGAUUAGUUUCUUGUCACGCAUUGCAACCUGUAUCCAUUAAGACCGAGGUGUCGUGUACAGUAAGUGACGCCCGGCUGGGGAGCGCACUGGGCGGACUGCGUGGCCAUGUGAGGGCCGGCGAGCCUGAAUGACCGCAUUGGAGAGAUUGUGACACCGCUGCUCCACUCAACUCGGCCAAGAGGACGUAAAACUCUGGGGGAGAUUGUGCGCUUGUUGGCGGGGUGCCGCUGCGCGCGAUCGGUGCGCGCCUGCAGACUGUCAGUGGAGCUCUCCCUGCUUCUAAGCCUCACACAGACACGUUCCCCAUGGGAGGACACCCCUUUAAUCCAUUAUUGUUUCAGUCUUUACCCAGUCCGAGUCUACAGUAGAAGAAGAGCGGGCUACAUCUGCAAGUUUACGCGCGUUGUGCAGCCUCUUGACGGUGGGGGGACCAAGCCAUGGCGGUCCCGCUGGUAGCAGCGCUGCUUCUCCUCAUCACCGUGUCACCAACUGCCCUGUGUGCAGAGGUGGAGGAGCGCCUGGUGAGUCACCUGCUGUCGGCCGACCGCUACAACAAACUGAUACGACCGGCCGUCAACAACAGCCAGCAAGUCACCAUUUACAUCCAAGUGUCUCUCGCCCAGCUCAUCAACGUGAAUGAGCGGGAACAGAUCAUGACCACCAACUGUUGGCUCACUCAGGUAUGGAACGACUACAGGUUAAUGUGGGACCCCGAUGAGUACGACGGCAUCAAGAAGAUCCGCCUCCCGACGCAGCACAUUUGGCUGCCAGACAUUGUCCUCUACAACAAUGCUGAUGGCACCUACGAGGUCUCCUUCUACUCCAAUGCUGUGGUCUCCAACAACGGCGAGGUGGCCUGGCUCCCUCCGGCCAUCUACAAGUCCGCCUGCAAGAUCGAGGUCCGCGACUUUCCCUUCGACCAGCAGAACUGCACUCUCAAGUUCCGCUCGUGGACCUACGACCACACCGAGAUCGACCUCAUCCUCCUGAGUGACUUUGCCAGCCGCGACGACUUCAAGCCCAGCGGCGAGUGGGACAUCGUGUCGCUGCCGGGACGCAAGAACGAAGACCCCAAUGACGUCAGGUACCUGGACAUCACUUACGACUUCAUCAUUAAGAGAAAACCUCUGUUCUACACCAUCAACCUGAUCAUCCCCUGCAUCCUGAUCACGUCGUUGGCCAUUCUGGUCUUCUACCUGCCGUCUGACUGUGGAGAGAAGAUGACGCUGUGUAUCUCUGUGCUCCUGGCGCUCACUGUGUUUUUACUUCUUAUCUCAAAGAUUGUGCCGCCCACGUCUUUAGCAGUGCCUCUGAUCGGGAAGUACCUGAUGUUUACUAUGGUGCUGGUCACCUUUUCCAUCGUCACCAGCGUUUGCGUGCUCAACGUGCACCAUCGCUCCCCCAGUACGCACACCAUGCCCCCUUGGGUCAAGCGUGUCUUCAUGUACCGACUCCCCUCCUACCUCUUCAUGAGGAGACCCGGCAGAUCCAACAUCCGUGAAAGGUUCCGGAAAAAACACCAGCACCGAACGUACUCGGAGAAGAAAGUCGGGGCAGACAUAGGGGCGGGAAGUUCAGGGGGACUGGCGGACUCCUCCUCGUCCUUGUACGUCAACGAGGAGUCGGCCAAACGCUACGGCUGGACGUUCAGUGACUUUGCCAACAACACGGAGUUCAGGAAGAGGACCACACUCAAAAGAGGCAUCGACGUGGAGGACGCGGUAGACGGAGUGCGCUACAUUGCCGACAAGAUGAAGAGUGAGGAUGACGAUGAAGGGAUCAUUGAGGACUGGAAGUACGUGGCAAUGGUGAUCGACCGCCUCUUCCUGUGGAUCUUUGUGUGUGUAUGCGUGGUGGGAACUAUGGGCCUCUUCAUGCAGCCUCUGUUCCAGAGUUACAACACCCCCGUUGUUGAAGACAUGGACCAAAACUGAAACCUAAAACUUGUGGUCUUAAAAACAAAAAUUCAACCUCAAUUCCCCAUUCCUUCUUUCGAGAACCCAACACAUGAACUUACCUCCUCACUUGACACUCUGGUGAUGCACUUUAGCCCUCUGCCUACAGCACUUGUUCUCCUUCUGAUCGUGCUCCCCCCUGCCAUCUUCUGCUCAAGCAGGAGAUUCAUCAAGCCUGGGUGGAGUAACCUAUAGAUAAUUUUACACUGAUCAAUAUGAUUGCUGAGAUCUGGGGGCUAUGUUAACAUUGAUGGCCUCCUUUUAUAACUUCAACCCACAUGUGUUUAAUGGAGUUGAGGUCCACACCAUGCCUUUGUGGACCUUUCUUUGUCCCUGGGACACUUGUCAAUAGUGUUCCUACAAAGUUGUAAGCAUACAAUUAUCCAAGAGCGUGUUCACAAACUCUGGUGCGUUUGCUCUGCCAGUACAGUUCGUUUGUUGAAGUGUGAAAUUGAUUAUCCGAACCCUGGUGUGCACCAAAUAAGUGGCAAGAGACCGCUUGAGAGAUGGGCCUCGGUCUGUUUGCAAGUGAACCGGUGUGAUGUGGUUACACGGCCCAAAGACAUGGACCAGUCUGUAGAAUCUGUUUAGGGUGUCCAAACUCUAAUAGGACCAGUAUCUAUUCUUCACACCGACAUACUGUACAGUAGUCACUAACGUUUGGAUGCCUAGUUUGUUCGGUGCGCUCUUUGACCGUACAAUAACCAAGACAGUGUACGAGAUAAGUUUGGUCGAAAACCGAAUCAAAUGAAAAUCGGGGCAUACAAAAAAGCAGCAGAGUAUAAAAAUAACCUCAACCCAGUAGAUGGAUGUGUCACGAAAGCUUCCCAAUCCAAUCGCUACUUUAUGCAUAUGUUCUUUAACGUUCAGCCUUUGGUCUCAUGACAAAAAUACCAGUAUGAACACGAAGUGCGCACCAUGCAUAUUUUUUAUAUUUUUGAUCCGAAUCCAGUGCAGUGCCGUCGGGGCUUCACUGGUGACCUAAUCACUAUCAGAAACAAUGUAAAUUCUCAUAUUUCUACUAUGAAAUUACAUUAAUUUAUUGCGUGUGGUUCAUUAUCUUCAUUUUGUAGCGUGUCUCAUGGCUGCACCGCUUCCAGUAGUGUAUGUGUAUGUUAGAUUUUUUUGUCCAGUCAGAUUUCAGCCAGCUUCUAUGAGUUGCCAUGUCAGUAUAAUCUUCUCAGGGCCUUCAGAAUCAGUGCUGGCCCAUGUCGCUUAAACACUAUUAGUAAUGGGGCUGUCAGAUUUCAGGUUCACCUCACAAGGCCAGCUUGCAGGCCGACAGUAAUGUCAGCAUUCCUCCGUCUUCUUAUUGGUUGAUGUCUGAAAGCCUACGCCUAACACUCUAACCUAAGUUACCUAAGUAACUUAAGUUACCAGUGCGCUUGAAUGCAUCAUCACUUGAACAGCAGCACUUAAUUGACCCCGUUCAACACAAAGAAAGGAGACGGACACAAUGUUGCUCAUCGUUCUGAGUGUGUUAUAUGAAUAAAUACGUGAGUUUAUAUUUCAUGUACAUCAGCCUGAUAAAGUUUUUGUUCGCCACCUCCACUGAAAUUCUUCCAGACCAGCACUUAUGAGUGAGCGGUGAAUGUGAUGUAUUUUAUUUAAUUUUUUAUGCUUUUGCCAUGUCUGAAAGGUCAGAAGUAACCCAUUAUUGAUUGGUUAAGAAGUGUGUCUCAGGACUUUAUUCCAUUGAAGGCUUUAUUGGUGUGACCCCAGAUAUCAGCAAUUAUUUGCCUUUUUUCGUCAUUUUGAAAAUUCACAAGUCAAAAUAAUCCAAGCGAGUGCAGAAGACUUAUCUAUCACUACAGACCCACCGAAAAGAACAUAUUACUGAAGCAUGCCCUGUUGUAAGCAUGGUGUCAUUGAGCCUGGUUGUGUAUUUAUUUGUUAAGAACUGAAGGAAAAUACAAAUGCAGGGACUUGUAACUAAACAUCAAUUAGGAGACGAGCUGCACUACUUCUAUCCCAACUGUUGACAACCCCGACUGCUUGGUUUUAGUCACACAUGUUGCCAAAUGUCACCUUAAUAAGAGCUCUGAACUAACAGCAGCUCAGGACGUUGCUCUGUUUUGACAUCUUUCUGUUUUUACUUUUUUCUACAGUUCCCUUGUCCUACAUGCAUGAAGCACGGCCCUUAUUUUUCUUUUCCAAGAGCCCAAAGACAAAAAAAAAUGCUUGAGAAGGACAUCAGUCAGCAGGCAAGCACACUUUGCCAAAAUGAAUAGUAAAAAAAGAUGACCUCCCGAGUAGCAUGUAUGCUGUAUUUAUUUCUGAUGUCCACUUUGAAGGUCAGAAAAGGGGUGCAAACGGUGUUUUUGCUGAUGUUUGUCAAGCUAUACACACAUAAACCAAUGAUCAUUGUGUAGCAUCAGCAUCUGUCUCCAAUGAAAAUAACAGCAAUAAUUUCAUUCAAGUCUUUUCUACUGACAGGACCAAAUAAGACAAACACUUGUUCCACUGUCCAGCAUCUUCUUGGAGAGCCUGAUGUCACACAAGCAUUCAAGUGCUCAAGUACUUUCGAUGAAGACUUGUUCCCGGUGCCAGCAGGAGCCAAAAAAGGACACCACACUCAGCAAACAUGAGAGGAAUAUAAGCACGCAUGUUUGUUUGCGUGCAUCCCGCCAGGCUGCACCCUGGUCGAUAUUUAUGCACUACAUAACUGCAUUAGAGGACAUGUGGCUGCUGUGCAGUUGCGUCAGGGGUCUAUCCAUCCAUCCUGCAGGCCAAGGAGCAGACAAAGGUGGUCCACACCUUGCAGGACGUUGACGCUGACAUCAGAGGUCGGUCCAUAACGUCUCUGAUUCUGCAAUAUACAUUUAUUUUCUUCUCGACUUGUCUGACCCCCCCAACCCCACCCCACCGGAGUUGCCUCAGGUGCCCGAUGCUGCUCGCUAGUGG